GUGGCGAACGGGUGAGUAACACGUGAGCAACCUGCCCCUGACUCUGGGAUAAGCGCUGGAAACGGCGUCUAAUACUGGAUACGAGUAGCGACCGCAUGGUCAGUUACUGGAAAGAAUUUUGGUUGGGGAUGGGCUCGCGGCCUAUCAGCUUGUUGGUGAGGUAAUGGCUCACCAAGGCGUCGACGGGUAGCCGGCCUGAGAGGGUGACCGGCCACACUGGGACUGAGACACGGCCCAGACUCCUACGGGAGGCAGCAGUGGGGAAUAUUGCACAAUGGGCGAAAGCCUGAUGCAGCAACGCCGCGUGAGGGAUGACGGCCUUCGGGUUGUAAACCUCUUUUAGCAGGGAAGAAGCGAAAGUGACGGUACCUGCAGAAAAAGCACCGGCUAACUACGUGCCAGCAGCCGCGGUAAUACGUAGGGUGCAAGCGUUAUCCGGAAUUAUUGGGCGUAAAGAGCUCGUAGGCGGUUUGUCGCGUCUGCUGUGAAAUCCGGAGGCUCAACCUCCGGCCUGCAGUGGGUACGGGCAGACUAGAGUGCGGUAGGGGAGAUUGGAAUUCCUGGUGUAGCGGUGGAAUGCGCAGAUAUCAGGAGGAACACCGAUGGCGAAGGCAGAUCUCUGGGCCGUUACUGACGCUGAGGAGCGAAAGGGUGGGGAGCAAACAGGCUUAGAUACCCUGGUAGUCCACCCCGUAAACGUUGGGAACUAGUUGUGGGGUCCAUUCCACGGAUUCCGUGACGCAGCUAACGCA
rnacentral:rRNA from 1 species